rnacentral:misc_RNA from 1 species
UUUCCGUAGGUGAACCUGCGGAAGGAUCAUUACUGAGUGAGGGCCCUCUGGGUCCAACCUCCCACCCGUGUUUAUUGUACCUUGUUGCUUCGGUGAGCCCGCCUCACGGCCGCCGUGGGGCAUCUGCCCCCCGGCCCGCGCUCUCCGUAGACAACCAUGAACUCUGUCUGAAGUUUGCAGCCUGAUCGCAAACUAAAUAAGUUAAAACUUUCAACAACGGAUCUCUUGGUUCCG